GAGGGAACACCCUCUUCCCUUUCUUCAGCCUCCUCACCGAGUCUUGGGGCCCAUUCACCACCAGACCCCCACUCCUCCCUCCAAAUCCGGUUCCUUUUUGACAGGACUCCGUCUAAAUCUCUGGUCUUUGACACUGCAAGGAGCAGGCACAGGCCUGCUUCCCCUGAAAUAAAGCGGAUUUACUGCCCUGAUUUAGGUGGAGCCAAGCAAACAGGAGUCUGGGAUCCGCCGGCAGCCCUCCCUCCGCUGGGGGACGUGAACGCAGGCUCCCGGCGCCUCCGAGGUCCCUGCGCGGCGCCGUCUCCCUCCCGGCCCGGGCCUGGGCUCCGCGUCGCCGCCGCCACCCUGCAGACAGAGCAACGUGGCCCUGCUCCGUGGCCCUGGGAGUCCCCGUGCGCCCCUGAGUCGGGACCCCGGACCUGUUUCAUUGUGGGCGGCUGCUCUAAAGGGGUCUCCCUGCGCCCCUGCCAAGAGACACCUUUGCCAGGUCCUCGCCCUUUGCUCCCCCGGUCGAAGCGCUCCACGAGAUGUGGACAGGUGCUCGGUUCAUUCAUCCCCCCCCCCCCCCGUUCGUAUCGAGUUGCAAAGCAGGGAGGGGCUCGGAGCACAAUUCCAGACGGGGUUCGUGGGGCUGGGGGCGGUUUACCUCUCGCUAACCGGGGCCUGGGGGAGCGUAGCAAUACCCCCGUUGGCCCCCGCCCCGUCCCCCACCCCCGCAAGGACGCUGGCCUCUCUUGCUCGGCUUUGAUUUGUGCCAAGCGCUCCUCCGCGGCGAGAGAGCGAGCAACAACGUGUCGCACGGCGACCCGUGGAACAGCGCCCGGGCCGGGGCUGCGGCAUCCAGAGCGCGCCAGGCCUCCCGGGGCCGCCGCACGGGGGCCGCGGCAGAGCGCGUGGAAUUUUCCAGCGCCCGGCCCAGCCUCGCAGAGGCGCGCCGCAGGGGCGGGGCGGGGGCGCCUGUGCCUGCGUGGGCGCGGGCAUGAGAUCAGCCAGGGGGCCCGCGUCGGUGGGCUCGGCGGGCCGGCGGAAGGUGGGCGGGGGCGGUGCCCGUCUCCACGGCUGUCCGCGCUGUGUCCCAGCCCCGAGAGAGCCUUUCCCUGGCGCCUUCCUCGCUGCGUGGAAAAUGCUCCAGUGCGCAGGGGGAGAUCGGGCAGAAUUUGCCUCGUAGUAAGAUUCCCCCUGGAAACUGCGGAAAAAUAA
ensembl:lncRNA